rnacentral:rRNA from 1 species
UAGCAUAUCAAUAAGCGGAGGAAAAGAAACCAACAGGGAUUGCCCUAGUAACGGCGAGUGAAGCGGCAACAGCUCAAAUUUGAAAUCUGGCUUCGGCCCGAGUUGUAAUUUGUAGAGGAAGCUUUAGGCGCGGCACCUUCUGAGUCCCCUGGAACGGGGCGCCAUAGAGGGUGAGAGCCCCGUAUAGUUGGAUGCCUAGCCUGUGUAAAGCUCCUUCGACGAGUCGAGUAGUUUGGGAAUGCUGCUCAAAAUGGGAGGUAAAUUUCUUCUAAAGCUAAAUAUUGGCCAGAGACCGAUAGCGCACAAGUAGAGUGAUCGAAAGAUGAAAAGCACUUUGAAAAGAGGGUUAAAUAGCACGUGAAAUUGUUGAAAGGGAAGCGCUUGUGACCAGACUUGCGCCGGGCGGAUCAUCCGGUGUUCUCACCGGUGCACUCCGCCCGGCUCAGGCCAGCAUCGGUUCUCGUGGGGGGAUAAAGGCCCUGGGAACGUAGCUCCUCCGGGAGUGUUAUAGCCCAGGGUGUAAUGCCCUCGCGGGGACCGAGGUUCGCGCAUCUGCAAGGAUGCUGGCGUAAUGGUCAUCAGCGACCCGUCUUGAAACACGGACCAAGGAGUCAAGGUUUUGCGCGAGUGUUUGGGUGUUAAACCCGCACGCGUAAUGAAAGUGAACGUAGGUGAGAGCUUCGGCGCAUCAUCGACCGAUCCUGAUGUAUUCGGAUGGAUUUGAGUAGGAGCGUUAAGCCUUGGACCCGAAAGAUGGUGAACUAUGCUUGGAUAGGGUGAAGCCAGAGGAAACUCUGGUGGAGGCUCGCAGCGGUUCUGACGUGCAAAUCGAUCGUCAAAUCUGAGCAUGGGGGCGAAAGACUAAUCGAACCAUCUAGUAGCUGGUUACCGCCGAU